rnacentral:rRNA from 1 species
UGAGUAAUGUCUGGGAAACUGCCUGAUGGAGGGGGAUAACUACUGGAAACGGUAGCUAAUACCGCAUAACGUCGCAAGACCAAAGAGGGGGACCUUCGGGCCUCUUUGCCAUCGGAUGUUUUGGAUUAGCUAGUAGGUGGGGUAAAGGCUCACCUAGGCGACGAUCCCUAGCUGGUCUGAGAGGAUGACCAGCCACACUGGAACUGAGACACGGUCCAGACUCCUACGGGAGGCAGCAGUGGGGAAUAUUGCACAAUGGGCGCAAGCCUGAUGCAGCCAUGCCGCGAAGAAGGCCUUCGGGUUGUAAAGUACUUUCAGCGGGGAGGAAGGGAGUAAAGUUAAUACCUUUGCUCAUUGACGUUACCCGCAGAAGAAGCACCGGCUAACUCCGUGCCAGCAGCCGCGGUAAUACGGCCGUAAGCGUUAAUCGGAAUUACUGGGCGUAAAGCGCACGCAGGCGGUUUGUUAAGUCAGAUGUGAAAUCCCCGGGCUCAACCUGGGAACUGCAUCUGAUACUGGCAAGCUUGAGUCUCGUAGAGGGGGGUAGAAUUCCAGGUGUAGCGGUGAAAUGCGCCUGCGU